CUCAGGUGAUGAAAAUGUUCCAAGACUAGAUUAAGAUGAUGGUUGUGCAACGUGGUAAAUUUGCAAAGGCAUUACACACUUACAAUCUAGGUAACUUUUGUGGUCUGAAAGUUACACUUCAAUAAAGUCAAAUUCUGUUAGUGAAAUAAAGAGAAAACAGAGCAAUAAAAUCUAGAUAAGCAUCAUCCAAGAAUAGCCACCUGGAGUAUUUCAAUGUCAAAUAGGAAAAGCAGGUGACAGAGCAAUUGAGAUAAAAGCUUGGCUCUCGGGCUUGGGCAUGGAGGACAGGUUAUUUUAAGCAGCAGUCCUUAUGUCAAUGAGUUCACAUCUCAGGACAGAGCUGUCCCUCUCCCCCUCUACUGAGUUUGCUCUGGCUGGCUGACCCAUCCUGGGAAUGUGCCCCAUGUCCACUGACUUCUCUGCGAUGAAGCCAAGGCCCCCUGCAGACACAGUCAGUCCUCCAGCACAGAAGCCAGCAGGGAGAGGUGGGGACAAGCAAGCUCCAUUUAAGGCUGGCUGCAAAGUAUGCUUCUGGCCACUUUGAUGAAACAGUCAAACUGAGCUUAAAUUGAAAACAAGGUCAGCACUGGAAAUAAAAACCCUAAAAUCCAGGGAGACAUGAUGGGAUCAACACAUUAUGGCUUGUAUCUAGAUGUCCCCAAAGCCUCGUGUGGUCAUAGGUGGAGCUUUUCCGGAUCUUGAAUGUAUGAUGCUGGAAUUAAGAGUAUUAUGCUGAGAUUAAGGGUUUCCCACCCUGGGUGUGAGUGCUAACCUACCCUCCGGGAUGGAAUAUAAGGGACAGAAAGAAGCUGCUUAGCUACUUUGCUGCUUUGCUGCCUUCUGCCAGCCAUGAACUGUUUCUCUUCUGCAACACCCCUCUUCCAUGCCACACUACCUUGGAGCCAGCCAACUAUGGAUUGAAACCUCUACACACUGUGAGCUGAAAUAAACCUUUCCUCCUUUAACUUUGGGUGUCGGGUAUUUUGUCUCAGCAACAAGAAAAGUAACUAAGCCGACGUAGGUAACACCAUAUUACUUCUCCCAAGACCUCCAGGUGGUAGUUCAGCAACUGGCAUUUUGCCCUAGGGCUAGGUCCCUGAGGCUUUAUUCCCUAGAAGGGAAGGAUCCAGAUCAUCUGAUCACUUUCUUGGUCCUGCCACAGACUGUAAAAUUCCUUCUAAUUCAUCCAAGACAGUUGUUAAAUUCAAAUGUCUUUUGAGAGGGAAGAUAACUGGUAAUGUGCUUUAGAGUUGAUUUUCCUAUGUCUUGGUGAAUAGCAGGGCUGUAAGCCAUGAUAGCACUUGGGUGAAGUACAGUAGGGAUAAGGUUUGCUUGUUACCAUAAGGAAGAGCAAAGGCAGAGUAGGGACGUGGGUUCUGAAAGGUAUGAUUCCAGAAUGGAAAUUAGGGAAUAGAUAUUGCAAGAAAGUUGCCUGCUUCACUCCUGCUCUUGGUGUCUCAGCCUAGCCCUCACCUGUUGCUCAGGGAUCUACCCCAGCAACUCCAGGACAUCAAGGGUCCCAGUGAAGAGCUCUGCUUCAGGUAGUAAAGGUUUGGUCUCAACUAGUGGGGAAGGAAAAUGACUAAGAACAGGAACCAGAAGUAAUUCACAAGUUACUGGCCACAUUAUGUAUACAUUGUUUCAACCACCUGCUCUGUGUGUGUGUGUGUGUGUGUGUGUGUGUGUGUGUGUGUUUUAAUCUCAGAAGCUACAUAUCUUUACAAAAAGAAUCAUUUCCUAAUAUGUUUCAAGUUGUUGGAAAAAACGUUGCUUGUAAUUUUUCAAACUUUGUAAUUAAAAACAGGAAAAUUACUUAAAAAGUAUAAGGAGUAUACGUAUGCCUUCACCCAGAUUUCCCUACUGUUAACAUCUUCUAUCAUUUUAGUAGUGUACAAUUACAGUCCUGGGGACUAUCACUGGUAUAUAUCACAUUAAGUCAUCCAUGUUAUGGUUUAGAUUUAAAAUUUCCCCCCCCAAGUCUCAUGUUUGGAAGUGGGACCUGGUUAGAGGAGACAGGUCAUUGGAGC
rnacentral:lncRNA from 1 species